GAAGGUAUAGCUCAAUUAAUGAGAAUGCUUGCUUAGCAUGCACCAGGUCCUGGGUUCAAGCCCCAGUACCUCCA
rnacentral:tRNA from 1 species